GCCCCUGAUAAGCAGAAGAAAAUAGAUGGAUGGAUGGACUUCCCUCUUUGUUUUUACAGACAGCAGAUUUCACUGGAACUGAUUGUUGAUGACCUCAGCAGUAGGCGUCACGAUCUGUGACAGAUUGUUGCUUAAAUGCACUGACAUAUGACUGAUUUAGACUGAACAGUGAGGAUGGAGGAGACAAAUGGUGGUUUUCAGACACUUGUCUAUGAAGACGAUUUGCACAAGGAAGAGUAUCCUCCGUACCAUCAGUCUAACAGGAUACAAGCUAUAAUAAUUCAAAUUUUUAUUCAUUGCACUCCCAUAGUCAGGUUUCUGAUUCUUUUGAUUGAAGUAGGUUUUACAGAGUUAAGAUAUAAUGACAGGACUUGAUGAUCUGAGACAACUACGUGUAAGGUUUACAUGCUCUAACAGGAUUUUUCUAAUCAUAAAUAAAGAGUACAGAGCAGAUGUUAAAUAAACUGCUAGUAAACAGUAAUAUUAAGUCCUAAAAUGAUUGCAUUUUAUUCUUUUAAAGCUUCAACCAAGUUAUAUGUGUGUUACCUGCCUUUAAGUUGAAAAUUGAUCAUUUUCUGCCUGUUUAGUGUCCAUGUUCACUAUGAGUCCUGGGAGACGCCACAGACUGGCUGCAGUGUGCCUGGCGCUUCUUGCUGCUGUUCUUCUGAUACUGAAUAUUGGCCUGGGGAUCCACUGGUGGUGAUCCAAAUCAGUGUGGAGCACAAUGCACCAUAGAGAUGUACAACUCUCCUGUUGAACACCUCAAGACUGAAGACUGCAAGGAAAGAACGCUAAUGUACACCGAGCAUCUGAAGAACAACAUGCAAGUGCUCAAACACACUGGAUCCAAAACCUGUUCCAGUUCCUCAGACACCAUCAGAGACUGUUUUGAAAGCCUUCUACUAUCAAUCUGGAUAAAAAGAAACUUUGCCAACCACUGCAAGUAUCAAGUGUUUUAAAUUUUGUUUGAAUGUUUAUUAUGUACUUAUUUGUUUUUGGUUGUAUUAAGUUUGAUAUUAAUUAGAUCAGUGCCGUUUUAGUCAUUAAUUUGAUUAUUAAAUAUUAACU